rnacentral:rRNA from 1 species
UACGUAGGGUGCGAGCGUUAAUCGGAAUUACUGGGCGUAAAGCGUGCGCAGGCGGUUCUGCAAGUCAGACGUGAAAUCCCCAGGCUUAACUUGGGAACUGCGUCUGAUACUGGAAGGCUUGAGUGCGGGAGAGGGAUGUGGAAUUCCAGGUGUAGCGGUGAAAUGCGUAGAUAUCUGGAGGAACACCGGUGGCGAAGGCGGCAUCCUGGACCGACACUGACGCUGAGGCGCGAAAGCUAGGGGAGCAAACGGG